rnacentral:lncRNA from 1 species
UGCAUCAUGUGUGAAACAGCAGUCAAUUUGUCAGGUUUCAGAUCUGAAACAGAGCACAUCGUGAUGAGAUGAGAAGGAAUCAGGAAACAGUUAAAUUGACUACUGAAUACAGUAUUGGAUCAUGGAAUUUCUCUCUACAUGCAAAUAUGAGCAUUAUUCUUAUUCUUUAGAGAAAUUUCAGCAUUUUUCAGUGCCAUCAUUUUCUGGUUACCUACAUCAAUGAGGUACUCUAGUUGCACAAUUUAUCUUAACCUGUUCCUUUUUCAUGUGUUUCAUUUGUACAUUCUGUUCGUACUUUUGUUUCCCCUUCGAAAAGAACAGUCUGUUCCGACUGUUGUCCUUGCAGAAUUUACUUUCGGUGGCAGUUUUAUGAAAUUCUUCUCGAUUUCUUGUAGGAAGGAUGAGGUUGGAUGCCUGACCUGAUAUGACGACGAGGACGUCCCAAAGAUGAACCCCUUGGGGAAGCUUCUCCGGCUGAUCGGCGGCAGCUCGCCGGCGUCAUUGU